GAAAUGCGAUACGUAGUGUGAAUUGCAGAAUUCCGUGAACCAUCGAAUCUUUGAACGCAUAUUGCGCUCGAGGCUUCGGCCAAGAGCAUGUCUGCCUCAGCGUCGGGUUAAUAUCACUCUACCUAUACCCUGUGUAUAGCACCGAGUGGACCUGGCUGUUCCGGUGAGCCUCGGUGAACCGGAUCAGCUGAAGAACAGAGGUUAGCACAAGGACCCGUUAAGGGCCGCAAUUGGGUAGGCAGUUUUCUGCUUCUAAUUGUUGGCUUGGGACCAUGAGCUCGACCCUCAAUCCAGGAAAAUAACCUUUAUUUUCUCGACCUGAGCUCAGGCAAGAACACCCGAUGAACUUAAGCA
rnacentral:misc_RNA from 1 species